rnacentral:rRNA from 1 species
GACGAACGCUGGCGGCGUGCUUAACACAUGCAAGUCGAGCGGUAAGGCCCUUUCGGGGGUACGACGAGCGGCGAACGGGUGAGUAACACGUGGGUGACCUGCCCUCCAGCUCUGGGAGUAAGCCCGGGAAACCGUAGGGUCGUAAUACCGGAUAUGACUUCAUGACGCAUGUUGUGGAGUGGAAAGCCUUGUGCGGCUGAGGAUGGGCCCGCGGCCUAUCAGCUUGUUGGUGGGGUGAGGCCUACCAAGGCGACGACGGGUAGCCGGCCUGAGAGGGCGACCGGCCACACUGGGACGUGAGAUACGGCCC